rnacentral:rRNA from 1 species
GAUGAACGCUGGCGGCGUGCUUAACACAUGCAAGUCGAACGGAAAGGCCCAAGCUUGCUUGGGUACUCGAGUGGCGAACGGGUGAGUAACACGUGGGUGAUCUGCCCUGCACUUCGGGAUAAGCCUGGGAAACUGGGUCUAAUACCGGAUAGGACGAUGUUUUGGAUGCCAUUGUGGAAAGUUUUUUCGGUGUGGGAUGAGCUCGCGGCCUAUCAGCUUGUUGGUGGGGUAAUGGCCUACCAAGGCGUCGACGGGUAGCCGGCCUGAGAGGGUGUACGGCCACAUUGGGACUGAGAUACGGCCCAGACGCCGACGGGAGGCAGCAGUGGGGAAUAUUGCACAAGGGGCGCAAGCCUGAUGCAGCGACGCCGCGUGGGGGAUGACGGCCUUCGGGUUGUAAACUCAUUUCGCUAGGGACGAAGCGUUUUGUGACGGUACCUGGAGAAGAAGCACCGGCUAACUACGUG